rnacentral:tRNA from 1 species
AGUAUUAUGUCUGAUUAAAGUAAUAAAUUGUAAAUUUAUUUAAGGAAGUAUAUUCCUGAUACUA